GGGAGAACAGCUAAUCAAUUGAGACCAUUGAGUUGCGCUCGUAAUGUUCUUAAUCGCGCUCAUGGCUCUGCAAGUUGGUCUCAAGGGGAGACGAAAGUUCUUGCUGCUGUUUAUGGACCAAAGGCUGGAACAAACAAGAACGAGAAUCCAGAGAAGGCAUGUUUUGAAGUCAUUUGGAAGCCAAAAACUGGGCAGAUUGGUAAAGCGGAGAAGGAGUAUGAGAUGAUUUUGAAGAAGACCGUGCAAAGCAUUUGUGUUUUGAAUGUUCAUCCAAAUACCACCACGUCAAUUAUCAUUCAGGUUGUCAACGAUGAUGGAGCUCUUCUUCCA
rnacentral:misc_RNA from 1 species